CUUGGUCAUUUAGAGGAAGUAAAAGUCGUAACAAGGUUUCCGUAGGUGAACCUGCGGAAGGAUCAUUACAGAAAGUAAACGCGGAUCAAACCGCGAACUUCUAAACCUUUGACGAUUGACUCAUGUUGCCUCGGCGGGUUCUCCCGCCAGAGGAUACAUCAAAACUCCUGUUUUAACGGUGUUGUCUGAGCUACAAGCAACGAAUCAAAACUUUCAACAACGGAUCUCUUGGUUCUGGCAUCGAUGAAGAACGCAGCGAAAUGCGAUAAGUAGUGUGAAUUGCAGAAUUCAGUGAAUCAUCGAAUCUUUGAACGCACAUUGCGCCCCUUGGUAUCCAGGGGCAUGCCUGUUCGAGCGUCAUUUCACCACUCAAGCCUGGCUUGGUGUUGGGCGACGUCCCCUUUGGGGACGCGCCUCGAAACGCUCGGCGGCGUGGCACCGGCUUUAAGCGUAGCAGAAUCUUUCGCUUUAAAAGUCGGGGCCCCGUCUGCCGGAAGACCUACUCGCAAGGUUGACCUCGGAUCAGGCAGGGAUACCCGCUGAACUUAAGCAUAUCAAUAAGCGGAGGAAAGAACA
rnacentral:rRNA from 1 species